rnacentral:rRNA from 1 species
CAGUCGCCGCGGGAAUACGAAGGGUGCAAGCGUUAAUCGGAAUUACUGGGCGUAAAGCGUGCGUAGGCGGUUUGUUAAGUCUGUUGUGAAAUCUCCGGGCUCAACCUGGGAAUGGCAAUGGAUACUGGCAAGCUAGAGUGUGUCAGAGGAUGGUGGAAUUCCCGGUGUAGCGGUGAAAUGCGUAGAGAUCGGGAGGAACAUCAGUGGCGAAGGCGGCCAUCUGGGACAACACUGACGCUGAGGCACGAAAGCGUGGGGAGCAAACAGGAUUAGAUACCCCAGUAGUCCCUGUCUCUUAUAC